AGGUGUUUAACAGGGGAAUUGAUUUUCUGGUGGAUGGGUUUUGAUGACGAGAUAAGACAAUUUCCCAUUUUGGCAAUGGAGGAAUGUUCACCAUAUUUGGAUUUGCUUCAUUUCUCUGACACGGAUUUCACCAAGCUCAUGUAAAAGUUGGUGAUGGUUGACAUAGUUAGCUGAUUAAACUGAUUACUCAAGUGGUGGCAAUGGCUAGGUUAGCCUUCUGUCCCUUUUACUUUCUGGACCUGGGUUUAUGAUUAGAGCUAAGUAUUUACCAAAAGAGCUGACCGAUUACAAUAACUGAAAAGAACCUUCUGGGAUGUUUGGCUCAGUCCUCAGCUAAAGGUAAGGCCCUUAAAACAUUCUUAACAUUUCUGCCAGGAACUGUUGUAUAUAUCUGUAUACAUGUGACUGUAAAUGCUACUUUGGAUCCCAUAGACUGUUUUAUUUGACUGUCUGCCUGCUUGGAGAACUUUAAAUAUAAAAUAAAUCAGCUAUAAGGACUUUAAGACUUUAAACUCUUUUAUUUAGUAGAUCUUGAGCUGAAUCCCAUCAAAGUUAAAUCACUUGCAUGAUUUCAUCUAAUUAGGAAAUCUAAAAAUCAGGAACCAAGAACCUGAUCUAAGAUACUUUCCACUCUUUAAGUCCAAAAAUGAGAUUUGUGUUCUUUUUCCAAAAUGAAGAUUCUUAUAAAGUCAUAUUUCAGUGGUUCCAGCUCCUGAUCUAAGUGAUGAAUUCAUCUAAGUACUUUGGAAACAGGUCCUCCUUAUGGUUUAUACUUCAAGACUAAAGACACUUAAAGUAUAUUAAUAUUGGUUUUUAAAAAAGAUGUUAUCUGUUAUAACCUAUGGCCCUAAGUUUCAAGAUAUACAGCAUUUCUAAAAGAUUACUGAAAUAAGACAUGCUUGUUCUUUCUUGACACAUGGAUCUAAAAUUGACCCUGUCUACUAUUCAUUAUGAAAGUCAAUAAUCAGGGCACUUAGGAGGUAGCUGAACUAAUUCUUACCACACUGAUAUAAUAUUUCCACAUACUCACUAAGCAGUGAUACAAGUAGACUAACUUCUGAUUUUUUUUCCCCCCAGAGAGAACACUACAAAUCUCACCCAUAUCCAGAUCAAUAGUAUGAUUUCUUAGGAAUCAAGAAUCAACAUUGGGUUAUUUCCGACUGUUAACCUUGAGAGCCCACUUGGACACUGCAGCAAGAAAGGAUAACCAUCCACCCACUUGGACAUGAAAAAUGAUCUUCGAUCAGGGAUUUCUGUCUCUUCAGCUAAACCACCAGAAAUAGAAGGAACACCGUUCUGACCAAACUCAUCCAGAUGAAUCAAGUCAACCCUUUUUAGCAAGGAGUGGAGCUGCAGAAGGGUGGCCAGGUCACUGUCUUCUGCUCGCACCAUCAUUGAGCAGCCUCCUCCAGAACUGCCACCUAGAGUGGUCCUCCCACUCACAGGUCAUUGUGUAUUAGGGUGUUACUGUGUCUUCCCAGGCAAUGUGGCUCUUUUUCUAAUUUGCACCAAGGCAUCUAUAUGGGCUAGUGCCAGCUCUGACUAUUCUGCCCCUAACCUGAGUCCUAUCCAGGAUUAUAUUCCUUACUUUGAAUGAAUUAGUAAUUCUGAAGUACAAAUUAGGUUUAUUGUGAAAGAUGAGAUAUUUGAUUUAAAUUGAAAAUGCGUUUCAUAAGUAAAGCUCAAAAUAUGCAAGUGAAUUUUGUAUAUAUGUGUCUAUGUAUAUAUAUUUGGACAUAUAUUUCUAUCAUCAGAAGGUAGGACAACUUUGAAAAAAGAAGUUAGGCCAACUUAAAUUGCUAAAUGUUUAAAAGAAAACUAUUUGGGGUUUUGGAAUCAGUUUAAUAUGGAUUUCUGGCCUUCACAGAAAUAUAUAUUAUUUAAUUCCAUUUCAACAUUCCCCUAUGCUAAGCAAUAUGUAUACAGUUUUGGAAAAUGAUACAAACACUCAGCCUCUAGAUAGUUAAUCAUCUAGUAAGGAAGACAAAUGAUAAGGUUACAAAUAAAUUUAUAGCUGUAAAUUAUAAUAAGUGCUUUGAAAGAAAUGCCAAGAUGAAGGAUAACAAAUCACAUCCAUCCCAAGAUUAAGUGACUGGAAAGAGCUUCUCUGGGGAAAAGACAUUUCAACUGAACCCCAGGGGUGCGUCAGAGUUUAUGAAGUGACUUCACCUUCCCAUUUAAAGUAGAGAAGCAUUUGAAUUGAGAACAGAAUUUGGCACAUUUAAGAGAACAAAAGUGCAGAAUAAAAUAGAUAACUAAGAAAAGAGGCCAGAGACCAAAUUCACAGUAUCACCACUAAGGAAGUUUGGGAGACCUUGCUACUACUGUGUGAUUCCACAGAGGAAGGUCUGCCGACAGAGGCGAAGAAUAAAUCCACAUCUUUUAAAAUUUGAAGAUUGGUUAUAGUUCAAGUGCCCUGACACAGUGGUGGAGCUACUGGUUAAUAUGUCUUUCAGAAGUUGGCAUUUCUGUGUGCCAGACACUGCUCUGGGGACCCAGCAAUGAGCAAACUUCUCCUGGAGCUUGUUCUCAUGUGGGAAAUAGAGAACAAAUAGCUGUGGACCAUAUGUGGCAUUCAAUGCAUAGACCAAAGGAAUCAUGAGGAAGAAGGGUGCAGCAGUUGAGAGAAAUAGUUAUUUCACAGACACAGGAAAGGUGUCUACUGAGUGAGUGAUUGGUCAUACAUGAAGCAGCAAGCCAUGAGGAUGCAGGUAUCUAUGCACAGGGAAUGGCAAAUGAAAGCUAUGAACACACCAGCACUCUUGUUGUGUUCAAGAGUUAGCAAAGAGGCCUAUGUGACUGAGGGGAACAGGUGACUGAGAAAGUGACAAGAAGGAGGAAAGAGAAAUAACCAGGGCCCAGAUCUUGUGAGCAGUUAUGGACUGAAACUCUUAUUGAAUAAGUAAGUCAGGGAUCUUAUCAGAAAUAAACUCUUAACUAUUUUCACAAAGUGAAUUAAAUGUAAGGAAUUGGUUAAAUGGAUGUCCAAGAACUACAAGAGCUAAAAGGGAACACUAAAGAGGAAUUCCUGAGGCUGCUGCAUCCCCAGGCUUGGGGCAGCUGGGGGAGAGUUAGUGUUGACAGGACCCAGAAACUUGCACCAGCUCUGGAGAUGUGGUUGCUGCCCAUUGGUGCUGAUCCCCUGAGAUGGUGAAAAGAAGUCCAUCAUAGGAGUGCCCGCUAGCCUUUUAAUUAAUUAAUUAAUUAAUUUUUUAAUGUAGGUAUUUUCUCUUUUGUUCUGCCUUGGCCACUUCCCACCAAUUUGAAAUGUUUUGCUUGUUUAUUUUCAUUCAGUUCAAAAUACUUUCUAGCAGUCCCCACCCCCAAGUUCUUUGACCCAGAGGUUAUUGAGAACUGGACCUUUUAGAUGUUUGGGGAUCUUCUGUUGUUAAUUCUAACUCAGUUCCAUUGCAGUCAGAGAGUAUACUCCAUAUGCAUUGAAUUUUUAAAUUUUGAGACCUUUUUAUGGGCAGGAAAAUUGUCUGUCUUGGCAAGCAUUUUAUAAACAAAAGAAUGUUUUGCUAUUAUGGAGUGGAGGGUACUGAAGGGUCAGGUCACUUUGGUAGAUAAUGUGGUCCAAGUUGUCCCUUAUAUUGACUUUCCAUCUGUUCAUUCUAUCAGUUAUUGCAGAAAGGAUACUGAUAACUAAUAUAUGGCAGAUUUUCUGUUUCUUGCAGAUCUGCCCACUUUUGCUUAGUAUAUUUUGAAGCUUUGCUUUUAGGUGCAUGAAUGUUUAGGGUUGUUAUGUCUUUGUGACAACUCGACCCUUUUGCCAUUAGGAAAUCUUUCUCUAUCCCUAGUAAUAUGUUUUGUUCUGAACUCCUCUGCCUGCUACUCAUUUAACCAAUCCUGCUGUCUUUUGAUUAGCACUAAACAUGGUGUAUCUUUUCCCGUCCUUUUACUUUUAUCCUGUUUCUGUCUGUAUAUUUAAAGUAUAUUUAUUAUGGGCAUCAUAUGGUUGGGUUUCACUUGUUUUUGCCAAAGUAACAUGCUAUGACUUUUAGUUGAGAUGUGUAUACCCUUUACGUUUGAUGUGAUGAUUGAGAUAGUUUAAAAUCUAUCACCUAACUAUUUGUUUUCUGUUUUGUCUUAUCUAUUCUUUGUUCACUUCUCUUUCUCUACUUUUUGAUUAAUUAAAUAUUUUUAUUAUUCCAUUAUAUUAUUGGCUUAUUAGCUCUAAUUUUUUAAUGGUUAUUUCAAGAGGUCAACAUUAUAUUGUAUUAUAGUUAAUAUCAUAUCACUUUAUUAUAAGAACUUUAAAGCAGUGUACAGUUGUCCUUUGGUAUCUGUGGGAGCUUGAUUCCAAGACCCCCUGCAAUCAUACCAAACGCUUAUUGAAAUUGGCAUACUAUUUGCAUGUAAUCUAUGCACCUCCUCCCCGGUACUUUAAAUGACUUCUAGAUUACUACCCCCCCCCCAUGUUAUACUUUUUCUCCCUCUCUUCUAGAUUACUUAUAAUAGCUAUAGCGAUGUAAAUGCUAUGUAACUAGUUGUUAUUUUGUUUAGGGAAUAAUGAGAAGGGACAAGUGUCUGUACAUGUUUAGAGCAGAUGCAGUCUUUUUUUUCUAAUAUUACUGAUCUGCCAUUGAUCUGCAGCGUCCACAGAUUUAGAAGCCAAAGGUCUGAAGAGCCAAUGGUCUUCACCUCUCUCUCGUACCCUUUGCACAUAUGCAUUACCUAUGUUACAAACUUCAAUGUGAAUUGAUAUUUCCUUUUUUAGAUAGAUAUUUAUCUUUUAGAGAGAUUUUAAGACAAGAAUAAAAGUCUGUUACCAAUAUGCUCAUUAUUUUUGGUGCUUUCCAUUCAUUUCUAUCUAGUGUGAUUUUCCUCCUGCCGUGAUGACAGUUCUUAUAAUACAGGUUUGUGGGUGAUGAUCUUAUUUUCAUUUUUUUGUGUGUCUGAGAAAUAUCUUUACUUUUGAGAGACAUUUUUACUGGGUGUAGAGCUUUAGGUUGACAGUUGUUGUUGUUUUUUUUUUAAUCAGUAUAGAUGAUUCCUGACUUACCAUGGUUGGAAAGAUGACUCUUCAACUUUCCAGUGGUGUAAAAGUGUUUUGGUAGCAACUGUACAUUGGAUUUUUAAUUUUGAUCUUUCCUCUAUGUCUAGAGCAUGCAGAAGAAUGCUCUCUUGUGAUACUGGGCAGCAGAAGUGACCUACAGCUCCCAGUCACCCAUGUGAUCACAAGGGGAAGGAACUGACUCUCUAUAUGUACUGUGUUGCUGAACUAUGAUGUUCAGUAGGCUAGAUGCAUUAAGAGAAGUUUUGAUUUAUGAUAUUUCUAACUUAUAGUGGAUUUAUUAUGAUAUAAAUUGAGGAGCAUCUAUACCUUAAAUAUUUUUGAGACAGCUCCACUGUCUCCUUAAUUACAUUUUCCAGGGAGAAAUUAUUCUCAUUCUUAUUUUGUUCCUCUGUAUAUAAUUCCUUUAUACUCUGGUUGCUUUUCAUAUUUUUUUUCUUUAUCAAUUGGUUUCAGGUUCCCUCUGUAUGCUAUUUUAGAUUUUUUUUUAAUGAUUCCCAGGUUACUAGUUGUUAAUUAUGCAAUGUCUAACUACUAUUUAUCCCAUCCAGGUUUUAUUUCUUAUUUUUUAUUCCUUAUUCCCUUUCAGGUAUUGAAUUUUUAUCUCAAAAAGUUUGGGUCUCUUUAACUCCUUGAAGUCGGUCCUUUACCAGAUUAGUCUUUCCUCUACAUUCUUGAACAUUCUUGAACAUAUGGAGUGCACAGUUUUAAUAACUAUUUUAAUGUUGUCUUGAACUCAUUCUUUUUGAUUUUUUUCCUCCUAACUGUGGUUCAUAUUUUCCUGCUUCUUUGCAUGUCUGCUAUUUUUUGUGUUGAGAUUCUGUUAUGGACUAAAUGUGAAGCCACAAAAUUCAUAUAUUGAAACCCUAGCCCCUAAUGUGAUGGGGGUGUUGCGAGGUAGGACUUUUAGGAGGUCAUCAGGUCAUGGAGCUGGAGUCUUCAUGAAAUGAUUCCCCAGAGAGCUCUCUCACGCUUCUUGUGCCAUGUGAGGAUCCAGGAAGAGGUGGACUACCUGCAUUCUGUAAGAGGACCCUCAUCAGGGCCAGACCAUGCUGGCACCCUGACCUGGGACUCUCUAGCUUCCAGAACUGUGAGAAAUAAAUGUUCAUUGUUUACGUCUUAAACAGUAUCACUUUUUUGUGUAUAGGAAGGUUUUUGACAACCAAUUAAUUUCUUUCAUACAUCUAGCAUGUAACAAUGCCAUGGGUGAUUCAUUUCCAUAGUCAUUUUGUUAUAGUAGCCCAAAUUAACUAAGGCAGAUUCCAAACUUUGUAAUUACCCUUGUAGAAUGUUUGACAUAGUUUCCAAUAAAUAUUUUAUUUUAUUUUGGUACCAAGGAUUGAACUGAGGGAUGCUUAACCUUUGAGAAACAUCCCAGCCCUUCCCCCCCCCCCCUAUUUUGUUAAGUUCCCUCAGGCCUCGCUAAGUUGCUGAAGCUAGUUUUGAACUCUUGCCUCAGUUUCCCAAGCUGCUGGGAUUUUAGGUGUAUGCCACUAUGCCUGUCUACAAUAAAUAUUUUUGAGCUUUAUUCUGAAGUGCAGUUAAAUUAUUUUCUAAAAGUCGGAUCUUUCGAUUUUGUGAUUAAAUUUUGCAAAACCAGAACCACUUUUAACCCAAAGCUAAUUUCCUCAUCCUGGACACACUGUCUAAUUUUCCUUGAUUACGAGGAACUUUUCUUAGACCUAUGUGAGAUCUAAGGUCCUACUCCUUCCAAUUGGCUCUUUCCAUGUUCUCAGGCAAUUCCCCCAUAUGUGUCUUCUAUUAAAUAUUCAGUGGAAGACUGGAGGGGUUUCCUCUGUGGCUCUCCUCGGCUCUUGCUCUUACUCUGCUUUUGAAUUCCAGUUUCUCUGGCCUCUCUGGACUCCAUGCUUUCCUCCUUAAUUCAAGGUCGUUGCUGGGCUAUUUGGCUUUCCCUCCCUGGAUUCGUUUUUCCUGUAGGAAAAUAGGUACCGAGGGCUAGGACAGUCUUCAACUCACCCUCUUUGCUUUCCCUCUCUUAGGGAUCCGUGUCCUGUCUUAUUUACUUGAUGUGCAGGACCUAAAAGCUGAGCCCAGUUUUUCAGUUCCCGUCAUUGUAUUACAAUAUUAAUGGGUUAGUAGAUUGGGCUGGGGUGAUAGAUCCGGUUCCUGUUACUCCAUCUUGGCUGGAAGCAGAAGUCUUAAACAGUAUCACUUUUGUGUCUGUGGGAACGUUUUUGACAACUAUUUUAAUUUCUUUCAUACAUCUAGGAUGUAACCGUCCAGUAGGUGAUUCAUUUCCAUUUAUUAAUUGUCAGUUCUUGUUCGUGUCUUUCCUUGGGCCUAUAGCUUCCUUCAUACACUCAACAGCUUCACAAAAAGUUGGUGUGGAUUUAUUUCAGCCUUUUCCCACUGGUGCCCUCCAUGAGGAACAAUGAUCAUGACUUCAGGUCCCCAUUUCCUAUCAGAAUCUUUUAACUCUGCCUGUCCUCUUUUGUUUCUAAAGUCAAAACUCAGGUCUUCUUCCCUGCUCCACCAUGACCUUGGGGACCCAUGAUGCCCAGGAUGUGAUUUUCCUGGUGCUCCAACACCAGCAGCUUCUUCUGAUUGUGCUAGACAACACGUUGAAUUUAUUUAGAAAAUAUACCAAAAAUCCGAUUAUGUUCUCCUAGAAGGUAAACCUUGUUGCUGUGUAUGCAGACUGUGAGAAGGGCAAGUCAGCGGACAGGCUUCAGGCCUCCGCCAUAUUUGCUACCCGCCACACCCAGCAUCCUUGCCUCUACUGCCUGUUGAAAGGCAGAUGGCUCCCUCUGGGCUGCAAUCCCUCCGUAUUUUUUCUGGACUAUGUCUUCAUAUUCUGCAUCAUUGAGCUCCGCUCUCCCACUCACUUUCCACCUUCUAGAAAGGUGUUGAGGUUUAUCCACUAAUAAAUUAUCUUUUGUUCUUUUCACUGCUGUUUGCCCCCCUGUUUUAAAUUGCCAUAUCUUAUUCUAGUGGGAUCCCAGGAACAAGAGGACUGUGCUCUUUUCGUAAUCUCCAAAUGGCAUCAAUUGUUCGUUGCUAGAGCUAAAGGUUAUUUUUUUCUGAAACUUUCAUUUUGUUCUUUGAUGCUUGACAAAUUCCUUUCCUUGAAAUUGUGUUUGCUCUUCUUUCAAUAACUUCAAUCUCAGUUGGGUUUACGCUUAUUUAUUUGGAUACAGCAUCUCAAUCUUCACUUCCUCUUUGCGGAGCAGUCCCCCUUCCUUCCUUCUUUCCUUCCUCCCUCCCUCUCCCUCAUAAUGAGGAUUAAACCCUGGGGCACUUUAACACGGAGCUAAAUCCCGCUUUUUAUUUUUAGAUAUAAUCUUGCUAAGUUUCUGAGACUGGCCUCAAACUCCAUAAUCCUCCUGCCUCAGCCUCCCAAGUAGCUGGGAUUGUAGGUGUGUGCUCUAAUUCCUUUACAGGUUUCCGCUCCCCAGAUUUCUAUCUUUGGCCUCCUCUUUCUCUUAGUAUGCCUUUUGGACAUUUCCAUUUGAUAGCCAGCCAGUGUUUCAAAUUCAUAUAUCCCAAAUUGCACUUAUCUUCACUUCUGAAUCUGCUGCCCCAAAUGAACCUUGUGUCUUGAUGAGCAGUACUUCUAUGUUUCUAACCAUCAACCCAAAAAUUCAGAAGCCAUCUUCACUUCCCAUUUCACAUAUAAUUGGCCGUUAUGUCCUGUCUAUAAUACCUCUUGAGUAUGGCUCAGAAUUAUUCAUUUCUUUCCAUCAUCUCAUCUAUUGCUUCUUUUAUUUAACUAUCAAUAAAUUUUUUACUACAGAAAAUUUUAUACAUAGUAAAAUGUACAUGUUACUCACCCUAACCAAUUACUGACAUUUGGCUAGUCUUGUCUAAUUUAUAUUCUUCCCUUACUUCACACCUCCACUGAGUUAUUCUAAAAUAAGUUCCAGAUGUUGUCCUAUCAUUUCAUUGGUAAAAUCCUCAGUACGUAUUUCUAAAAGACAAACUUUUUUUAAAGACCUAAGUAUAAAAUCUUUAUCAUCAUCUCAGUAAUUUCUUAAUAAUAUAGUCACAUGUCCAGUAAGUGUUUACAUUCCCUAGGUUUUCUUGCAAGUUUUUGUUUUUAUAGUAGUUUAGUUCAAAUCUGUAACUAAGCAAAAUCUACACACUGUAUUUGAUUAAGACAUUACUGAGUCUCCUUCAGUUCUUUUUCCUUUUUUUUUUUCCCCCUGAAGUAAUCAAGUCAUUUGUCCUGUAGAGUUUUUUUACAAUUGGGAAUAAUUUGAUUGCAUCCUCCUGGUGUCUUUAAACAUGUUUUUCUAUAUUCAUAUUUUUGGUAAACUCAUAUUUAGAUCUAGGGGCUCGAUUAACUUUUUUCAAGAAUGGUUUCUGGGCUGGGGAUGUGGCUCAAGUGGUAGCGCGCCCGCCUGGCAUGCGUGCGGCCCGGGUUCGAUCCUCAGCACCACAUACAAACAAAGAUGUUGUGUCCGCCAAUAACUAAAAGAAAUAAAUAUUUAAAAAAAA
rnacentral:lncRNA from 1 species